rnacentral:rRNA from 1 species
GAUGAACGCUGGCGGCGUGCUUAACACAUGCAAGUCGAACGAAGAUGCCGGAGUGCUUGCACUUUGGCAGACUGAGUGGCGGACGGGUGAGUAACGCGUGGGUAACCUGCCUUAUACAGGGGGGAUAACAGUUGGAAACGACUGCUAAUACCGCAUAAGCGCACGGUAUCGCAUGAUACAGUGUGAAAAACUCCGGUGGUAUAAGAUGGACCCGCGUCUGAUUAGCUUGUUGGUGAGGUAACGGCCCACCAAGGCGACGAUCAGUAGCCGGCCUGAGAGGGUGAACGGCCACAUUGGGACUGAGACACGGGCCCAAACUCCUACGGGAGGCAGCAGUGGGGAAUAUUGCACAAUGGGGGAAACCCUGAUGCAGCAACGCCGCGUGAGGAUGACGGUUUCGGAUUGUAAACUUCUUUCUUAGUGACGAAGACAGUGACGGUAGCUAAGGAAUAAGCAUCGGGCUAAACUACGUGCCAGCAGCC